rnacentral:rRNA from 1 species
UACGAAGGGGGCUAGCGUUGUUCGGAAUUACUGGGCGUAAAGCGCACGCAGGCGGAUCGAUAAGUCAGGGGUGAAAUCCCGGGGCUCAACCUCGGAAUUGCCUUUGAUACUGAGAAGCUUGAGUUCGGGAGAGGUGAGUGGAACUGCGAGUGUAGAGGUGAAAUUCGUAGAUAUUCGCAAGAACACCAGUGGCGAAGGCGGCUCACUGGCCCGAUACUGACGCUGAGGCACGAAAGCGUGGGGAGCAAACAGG